rnacentral:rRNA from 1 species
GCUCAACCGGGGAGGGUCAUUGGAAACUGGGGAACUUGAGUGCAGAAGAGGAGAGUGGAAUUCCACGUGUAGCGGUGAAAUGCGUAGAGAUGUGGAGGAACACCAGUGGCGAAGGCGACUCUCUGGUCUGUAACUGACGCUGAGGCGCGAAAGCGUGGGGAGCGAACAGGAUUAGAUACCCUGGUAGUCCACGCCGUAAACGAUGAGUGCUAAGUGUUAGAGGGUUUCCGCCCUUUAGUGCUGCAGCAAACGCAUUAAGCACUCCGCCUGGGGAGUACGGUCGCAAGACUGAAACUCAAAGGAAUUGACGGGGGCCCGCACAAGCGGUGGAGCAUGUGGUUUAAUUCGAAGCAACGCGAAGAACCUUACCAGGUCUUGACAUCCUCUGACAACCCUAGAGAUAGGGCUUCCCCUUCGGGGGCAGAGUGACAGGUGGUGCAUGGUUGUCGUCAGCUCGUGUCGUGAGAUGUUGGGUAAAGUCCCGCAACGAGCGCAACCCUUGAUCUUAGUUGCCAGCAUUCAGUUGGGCACUCUAAGGUGACUGCCGGUGACAAACCGGAGGAAGGUGGGGAUGACGUCAAAUCAUCAUGCCCCUUAUGACCUGUGCUACACACGUGCUACAAUGGGCAGAACAAAG